GGGGAGGUUGCUGCUGGGAGAUAAUUUUUAGGUCCAGGAAGCGCUCGGAAGCAGUCAAUAUAGCAGUAAGCAUCUUCCAGCACCCUGUUAUGGAGAGAAGAGUAUUGGGGUUUAUGGUGAGAACUGUAUCGCAUUGUGGAGCACUAACCAGUUUUUACUGCGGAAGACGACAAGCUUCAUUCUGUGUGUGAUGGGCGGUUGGGAACCAUACCCUUCAAUAUGAAAACUUGCCAGCUUCUAAGUGUUCCACACAGAGGUCAGCACCUUCACUGUCUCCAGCUCAAUCUCUAGGUACACCUACCUAUAUAUGCAAAAAUCAAUUGAGUGAAACCACUAGUUUGAUUAUCCAUUAGAUGCAUUCUUGAUCAAACAUUAGAGCAGUAGUACCCGUGUGAUUUACAAUAUGGGUAUUUUUACUGGAUGCUGUAAAAAUAACAGUUUGCUUUUGUUCACGUCAAUGACCAUGAUAACACAUUAAUGGCUAUAAAAGAAAUAAUGAAAUUAGCUGAACAAACGCGAGUUAUCAACAACCUAUGGCAUAACUAGCAAAACCAUCAGUACAGUUUACAAAAAAAAAUGCUUCUUUUGAAAAAUGGGUUGUUUGUACAGUAACUGUAACACUAUUUACUUACUUACAGUUUCGUUUCACAUUCAUAUGCAUUUUCUAAAUUUUGGCAUUUAAAUUACAUAAAAAAUAUGAGUGAAAAUAGUUUCAUGCAUCGUCAGUUUUAAACAAGAGUGCCAAACUGUCACAAGAUAUGCCCUUUCGAAGGUUUUGGACACCAUGCUCAAUGCUUGAAAUGCACUAAGUGACCUCGAGACCUAGUUAUUGACCCGGCAUGACCCAUAUUUAAACUUGACCUAGAUAUCAUUUAGUAUAACAUCUGACUAAAUUUGGUGAAGAUCAUAUGAAAACUACUUCAAUAAGAGAGCGGACACCAUGCUAAAUACUUGAAAUGCAAUAUGUGACCUUGUGACCUCGUUUUUGACCCUGCAUGACCCAUAUUCCAACUUGACCUACAUAUCAUCUAGACACAACUUCUGACCAAAUUUGGUGAAGAUCGGGUGAAAUCUACUUCAAUUAGAAAGCAGACACCAUGCUAAAUCCUUGAAAUGCACUAAGUGACCUCGUGACCUAGUUUUUGACCCGGCAUGACCCAUAUUUUAACAUGACAUAGAUAUUGUCUAGACACAACUUCUGACCAAGUUUGGUGAAGAUCGGAUGAAAACUAUUUAAAUUAGAGAGCGGACACUGCUGUGGACGCCGUCCGCCAAGGGUGAAACUAUAAUACGUCCCGUUUUUAAAAACGGGCGUAUAAAAAAAGGAGAGCAUAAGAUUUGGCUGUGUGAGAGGGUGUUUUGCUGCGUAAAUGCGCGACUCUCACGCUGAAUGCCCGAUACUUGACAGGCGCAUGAAUGUUGAUGCAAACUACUUCAAUUAGAGAGCAGACACCAUGCUAAAUCCUUGAAAUGCACUAAGUGACCCCGUGACCUAGUUUUUGACCCGGCAUGACCCAAAUUCGAACUUGACCUAGAUAUUGUCUAGACACAACUUCUGACCAAGUUUGGUAAAGAUCGAAUGAAAAUUAUUUGAAUUAGAAAGCGGACACGAAAAGUGUGACAGACUGACA